UACGGGGGGGGCAAGCGUUUGUCCGGAAUUAUUGGGCGUAAAGCGCGCGCAGGCGGUCCUUUAAGUCUGAUGUGAAAGCCCACGGCUCAACCGUGGAGGUCAUUGGAACUGGAGGACUUGAGUACAGAAGAGGAAGCGAAUUCCACGUGUAGCGGUGAAAUGCGUAGAGAUGUGGAGGAACACCAGUGGCGAAGGCGGCUUCUGGUCUGUAACUGACGCUGAGGCGCGAA
rnacentral:rRNA from 1 species